rnacentral:tRNA from 1 species
UUAACCGAAACCAAAGGAGGAGGUAUGCUACUGUUAAUAGUAUAAAUGAAAAUAUUUUCCGGUUAAA